GACGAACGCUGGCGGCGUGCUUAACACAUGCAAGUCGAACGGAAAGGCCCUGCUUUUGUGGGGUGCUCGAGUGGCGAACGGGUGAGUAACACGUGAGUAACCUGCCCUUGACUUUGGGAUAACUUCAGGAAACUGGGGCUAAUACCGGAUAGGAGCUCCUGCUGCAUGGUGGGGGUUGGAAAGUUUCGGCGGUUGGGGAUGGACUCGCGGCUUAUCAGCUUGUUGGUGGGGUAGUGGCUUACCAAGGCUUUGACGGGUAGCCGGCCUGAGAGGGUGACCGGCCACACUGGGACUGAGAUAAGGCCCAGACUCCUACGGGAGGCAGCAGGGGGGAAUAUUGCACAAUGGGCGGAAGCCUGAUGAAGCAACGCCGCGUGCGGGAUGACGGCCUUCGGGUUGUAAACCGCAUUCGCCUGUGACGAAGCGUGAGUGACGGUAAUGGGUAAAGAAGCACCGGCUAACUACGUG
rnacentral:rRNA from 1 species